rnacentral:snRNA from 1 species
GUGCUGGCUUUGGCAGAACUCGUACUACAACUGGAACAAUAGAAGAUUAGCAUGGCCCCUGGGCAAGGAUGACACCCAAAUUCGUGAAGCAUUCCAUCUUAAA